GCGAGCCAAGUCUCUGCUCAUAGUUGUGGGGAAUCCUGUGAUCCUCAGGAAGGACCCCAUCUGGAAGAAGUUCAUCAGCUACUGUGUGAAGAUGAAAGCCUAUGUUGGAGUUGAGCCCAAGGAUGCAGAAGAGAAGGGAGACGAAUUCCAGGCCAAAAUGGCGGCGCUGAAAAUCGUUGAUUCUAAAUGUCCUGUGUCAGAAGGAAGUCCCCUCCAGCAGUACGUGGACCCUAAACCAAAUACUGAAGAUUAACUUGUGGACUCCGCUGCUCAAAGACAGAAAUCACGUUAUAUAAAGAUGU